AGCAUAUGCAAUGGGGAUUUUGUCAUCUUUAUUCUCUGCCUUUGUACUAACUCCAAAUGAUUUAAAAGAUAUAAUGAGAUCCUUGCUAAAUAAGGUACAAGUAUCAUUGUUUUUAGAUGAAUGGAAAGCUUUAAUUAGAAAAUAUGCUCAUGAAACUAGCUCCACUACACGUAGACCUAUAAAAACUACC